CAGGGGGUGUAAUAGUGGAAUUGGGGUACAGUGAGAGAUCCAAGUGCAUGUGCCUAUGGGAAAAAGGCCCACUAAACUCAGUCUUGGCCAGAGCAUUCAACAUGUGGAUCAAGCAAAUUAAUCAUGUGGCAAAUGAAAUUCAAUUUGAAUUUGAAUUAAAAUGGAGAAAAACGUGCGCGGGUGAGAAACACCUCAGAAAAAGUCUCAGGUGAAAGGCAUUGUUGGUCGCCGUGCCGAAAAUCGCCUUGGUGGCAGUGGCCACCAAAAACGAGAAUUGAACUUAACAUCUCCUUCGUCUCAUCAUGCUCAGUUUAAAUCUUGUUCCAAUUUCUCCAAAUUCCACGCCUAGAACCCUAACGACAUUGAUGAACUCAAGAACCCUAAACAUAUAAACCUAAAUUAAAUAACAAUCUUGAGGAAUCAAAGCCCAAUAGGUUGGGGCUUUGAUUCCUCUCACCUCAACCCACAUCAUAGUAUCCAGAAAUGAAGAAAAUGUGAAGGAUUUGAAUUUACCUCUCCCGAAGAAGAAGAUCAGAAAACGUCUCAGGUCAUUUGAACAAUGCAACAUGACAUCAAGAUUGGAUUUUGGACUAUGAUGUACAAAAGGCAAGAAUUCAGAGGUCAAGGAUCAAAGGAUGAAGAUUAAGGAUGGAAUUAGGAUUAGGGUUAGAUAAAUUUAGGAUCUUGGGACUCUUGGGGAUUGGGUUAACUUUGGUCAAAGUUGACCAAAAAGUCAAUUGUUGACCAAAGUCGGCAUUUGGUCAAAGUUCACCUUUUUUGUAUUUUAUUAAUGUAUGGAAAUUUUUAUGCUUUGUAAUGGAAUGAUAUUUAUGAAUGAAGUAAGAUUGGAUAUUGAAUUGAA